rnacentral:rRNA from 1 species
GAAUUCGCCCUUAGAGUUUGAUCCUGGCUCAGGACGAACGCUGGCGGCGCGCCUAACACAUGCAAGUCGAACGAGAGAGAGGGAGCUUGCUUCCUUGAUCGAGUGGCGAACGGGUGAGUAACGCGUGAGGAACCUGCCUCAAAGAGGGGGACAACAGUUGGAAACGACUGCUAAUACCGCAUAAGCCCACGACCCGGCAUCGGGAAGAGGGAAAAGGAGCAAUCCGCUUUGAGAUGGCCUCGCGUCCGAUUAGCUAGUUGGUGAGGUAACGGCCCACCAAGGCGACGAUCGGUAGCCGGACUGAGAGGUUGAACGGCCACAUUGGGACUGAGACACGGCCCAGACUCCUACGGGAGGCAGCAGUGGGGAAUAUUGCACAAUGGGGGAAACCCUGAUGCAGCAACGCCGCGUGAAGGAAGACGGUUUUCGGAUUGUAAACUUCUGUUCUUAGUGAAGAAUAAUGACGGUAGCUAAGGAGCAAGCCACGGCUAACUACGUGCCAGCAGCCGCGGUAAUACGUAGGUGGCAAGCGUUGUCCGGAAUUACUGGGUGUAAAGGGAGCGUAGGCGGGAUGCCAAGUCAGCUGUGAAAACUAUGGGCUUAACCUGUAGACUGCAGUUGAAACUGGUAUUCUUGAGUGAAGUAGAGGUUGGCGGAAUUCCGAGUGUAGCGGUGAAAUGCGUAGAUAUUCGGAGGAACACCGGUGGCGAAGGCGGCCAACUGGGCUUUAACUGACGCUGAGGCUCGAAAGUGUGGGGAGCAAACAGGAUUAGAUACCCUGGUAGUCCACACUGUAAACGAUGAUAACUAGGUGUGGGGGGUCUGACCCCUUCCGUGCCGCAGCUAACGCAAUAAGUUAUCCACCUGGGGAGUACGACCGCAAGGUUGAAACUCAAAGGAAUUGACGGGGGCCCGCACAAGCAGUGGAGUAUGUGGUUUAAUUCGACGCAACGCGAAGAACCUUACCAAGUCUUGACAUCCUGCGACGCACAUAGAAAUAUGUGUUUCCUUCGGGACGCAGAGACAGGUGGUGCAUGGUUGUCGUCAGCUCGUGUCGUGAGAUGUUGGGUUAAGUCCCGCAACGAGCGCAACCCUUAUGGUCAGUUACUACGCAAGAGGACUCUGGCCAGACUGCCGUUGACAAAACGGAGGAAGGUGGGGAUGACGUCAAAUCAUCAUGCCCUUUAUGACUUGGGCUACACACGUACUACAAUGGCGUUAAACAAAGAGAAGCAAGACCGCGAGGUGGAGCAAAACUCAGAAACAACGUCCCAGUUCGGACUGCAGGCUGCAACUCGCCUGCACGAAGUCGGAAUUGCUAGUAAUCGCAGAUCAGCAUGCUGCGGUGAAUACGUUCCCGGGCCUUGCACACACCGCCCGUCA